GAUGAACGCUGGCGGCGUGCCUAAUACAUGCAAGUCGAGCGAACGGACGAGAAGCUUGCUUCUCUGAUGUUAGCGGCGGACGGGUGAGUAACACGUGGAUAACCUACCUAUAAGACUGGGAUAACUUCGGGAAACCGGAGCUAAUACCGGAUAAUAUUUUGAACCGCAUGGUUCAAUAGUGAAAGACGGUCUUGCUGUCACUUAUAGAUGGAUCCGCGCUGCAUUAGCUAGUUGGUAAGGUAACGGCUUACCAAGGCAACGAUGCAUAGCCGACCUGAGAGGGUGAUCGGCCACACUGGAACUGAGACACGGUCCAGACUCCUACGGGAGGCAGCAGUAGGGAAUCUUCCGCAAUGGGCGAAGGCCUGACGGAGCAACGCCGCGUGAGUGAUGAAGGUCUUCGGAUCGUAAAACUCUGUUAUUAGGGAAGAACAUAUGUGUAAGUAACUGUGCACAUCUUGACGGUACCUAAUCAGAAAGCCACGGCUAACUACGUG
rnacentral:rRNA from 1 species